AACAUCGCGCACCUGCGGGAACCUGCGGAAGGAUCAUUACGAGAGUGUCACCACUCCCAACCCAUUGUUUACCUACCCGUCCACCGUGCUUCGGCAGGCAGCCCUGUGGGACAGAGCCUCGCCCCCUUUCGCGGGGGGUGCCUGCCGCUUGCCAACCAAAACUCUAGCUGUUUUAGUACCAUCUGAGUCUUCCACAAAUGAACAAAACUUUCAGCAAUGGAUCUCAGAUCGGAAGAGCAC
rnacentral:misc_RNA from 1 species